rnacentral:rRNA from 1 species
UACGUAGGUGGCAAGCGUUGUCCGGAUUUACUGGGCGUAAAGAGCGCGCAGGCGGUCGUGCAAGUCGAGUGUGAAAGCCCCCGGCUCAACUGGGGAGGGUCACUCGAUACUGAUCGACUCGAAGGCAGAAGAGGGAAGCGGAAUUCCCGGUGUAGUGGUGAAAUGCGUAGAUAUCGGGAGGAACACCAGUGGCGAAGGCGGCUUCCUGGCCUGUUCUUGACGCUGAGGCGCGAAGGCUAGGGGAGCAAACGGG